AAUAUUGGACAAUGGGCGAAAGCCUGAUCCAGCCAGGCCGCGUGAGUGAUGAAUGCCCUCGGGUUGUACCGCUCUUUCACCGGUGAAGAUAAUGACGGUAACCGGAGAAGAAGCCCCGGCCAACUUCGUGCCAGCAGCCGCGGUAAUACGAAGGGGGCUAGCGUUGUUCGGAAUUACUGGGCGUAAAGCGCACGUAGGCGGACAUUUAAGUCAGGGGUGAAAUCCCGGGGCUCAACCCCGGAACUGCCUUUAAUACUGGGUGUCUCGAGUCCGGAAGAGGUGAGUGGAAUUCCGAGUGUAGAGGUGAAAUUCGUAGAUAUUCGGAGGAACACCAGUGGCGAAGGCGGCUCACUGGUCCGGUACUGACGCUCAGACACGAAAGCGUGGGGAGCAAACAGG
rnacentral:rRNA from 1 species